UGGCUGAUGAUGAAUGAUCUGUAAGGUCUUAGCGGAUUUCGUUGAGGCUUUAGAGUCUAUGAUCUUACUAUUGUUGUUACACACACUGAAGCCU